UCAGUAAACAAACAAUUCUUGAGGAGUAGGACUCAGGUCUGAAAUUCAACUCGAGAUGGCAGAUUCAAUUCGGAUUAGGGGGGCGUGUUGUUAAUGGACAAUGCACCUGCAUCUUACUUUCAGGUAGUAAUCACUUCACACACCGCCAUUUAAGGUCAUCAGAGGAGAUCUCUUGGGGAAAUAACUUCUAUGGAGAAACAUUUAGGUCAAGGCGUGGGAAAUCUUGGAAGGAACAAUGCGUUCCAGUAGGUUAGUGUUGUAACACAUUGGAAAAUUGAACUUAAAAGUAAGUUCCACCUCAGAAAGGGGAGCUGAAUUCGUACAUUGGGUUGU
rnacentral:rRNA from 1 species